rnacentral:rRNA from 1 species
GACGAACGCUGGCGGCGUGCUUAACACAUGCAAGUCGAACGGAAAGGCCUGCUUUCCCUUGUGGAUUGCGGGUACUCGAGUGGCGAACGGGUGAGUAACACGUGAGUGAUCUGCCCCCAACUUGGGUAUAAGCCUGGGAAACUGGGUCUAAUUCCCGAUAGGACUGCAGGGUGGUGCCUGUGGUGGAGAACGAUUUUCUAGUGGUUGGGGAUGAGCUCGCGGCCUAUCAGCUUGUUGGUGGGGUAAUGGCCUACCAAGGCGGCGACGGGUAGCCGGCCUGAGAGGGUGGACGGCCACAUUGGGACUGAGAUACGGCCCAGACUCCUACGGGAAGCAGCAGUGGGGAAUAUUGCACAAUGGGCGGAAGCCUGAUGCAGCGACGCCGCGUGGGGGAUGACGGCCUUCGGGUUGUAAACUCCUUUCGACCGCGAGGAAGCCACCUGGUUGGAAGGGUGGUGACGGUAGUGGUAGAAGAAGCACCGGCUAACUACGUG